rnacentral:rRNA from 1 species
CCUACGGGAGGCAGCAGUGGGGAAUAUUGCACAAUGGGGGAAACCCUGAUGCAGCGACGCCGCGUGAGUGAAGAAGUAUUUCGGUACGUAAAGCUCUAUUAGCAGGGAAGAAAAUGACGGUACUUGACUAAGAAGCCCCGGCGAACUACGUGCCAGCAGCCGCGGCAAUACGUAGGGGGCAGGCGUGAUCCGGAUUUACUGGGUGUAAAGGGAGCGUAGGCGGCAGGGCAAGUCUGGAGUGAAAUCCCAUGGCUUAACCAUGGAACUGCUUUUGACACUGUGCAGCUAGAGUGCAGGAGAGGUAAGCGGAAUUCCUAGUGUAGCGGUGAAAUGCGUAGAUAUUAGGAGGAACACCAGUGGCGAAGGCGGCUUACUGGACUGUAACUGACGUUGAGGCGCGAAAGCGUGGGGAGCAAACAGGAUUAGAUACCCGAGUAGUC